GUAAAAAUUCUCAAACACUGCAUACACAGAGAGGAUAGGAGACAUGGCCUUUGCGGAUAGGAAAUGAGGAAAUUUUGCGAUAGGACAGCUGUAGAUCCUGUUGCGGACACCCAGCCGGGCAGUUGGAGGUGGGGUCAGUCCAGAAGCCUUCAGAUAACACCAGGGUGUAGUCCUGGCGAGAAAUCUUCAGUUGCUUCAGGACCUUUUCUAGCCCCACGCGACGGCUAGGUCCUCCGUGAGAGAAAACUGGUUCGAGAAGCAUGGCCAACAUUCCCAAUGAUCCGUGAGUAUUGAGAAGUUCUCCAUGUUCUCCCAAGCAAGCCUAACAUCUGAGACUUCCCGCAUGGCGGCCGCCCUAUUAGCAUUUAGGUGGCUAUAGGAUGCCCAUUGUUUGAACUUAAGAUGGAGGCCGAGAGCCUCCAAAUGAAAGGACAGAGUUGAAAGUUAAGUUCUGCGCCUGUACUCACCCCUCUGAUGAAUAUACCUUCUGUUCUGAUUCUGAUCCUGGGCGAGUCCCCACAAUGAAGUGGUGUUGUCUGUCUGGGGAAAUAACUGAGGUUCGUUGUCUCGCGCUAAGGAGAACAAAGAUGUGGGCACACAGGGAAUGGGUUUAAGAGCAGAAAGUUUAAUAGGUGAAAGAAACAAGAGGAAAGCUCCCCUGUGCAGAGGGAGGGGGUUCCGAAGGGAUCUCCCGGGUUGCGGUGGGAAGCGGCUGGUUUUAUAGAGGGCUUGAGGAGGCAGUAUCUGAUUUACAUAGGGCCUAGGGAUUUAGUUGGACCAAGUGUGCCAUUUACAUAGUCCACAAAGAGGCUGGCCAUCCCACCCUAAUCUUUCUUUUAUUAGGCAGAUGUGGUUUCCACCUGGCCGGUGCCAUGACACCCACACACAUGGCGACAAGGAGAAGGGAGAAGAAAACCUAUUUGUUGUAUAUACCUGGCUUUUGGCACAGCUGCCGGGAUUCACCUGUGCAAGUUUCCAGCUUGCUUAUCUAUGCUUGCAGCUUGAUUUUUCAGGCUACUUUCUGUUAGAAAAGAAAUGAUUUGGGGGCUGCUUUCUAUUAAAAGAAAAACCUUACCAAGG
rnacentral:lncRNA from 10 species